rnacentral:rRNA from 1 species
GACGAACGCUGGCGGCGUGCUUAACACAUGCAAGUCGAACGGAAAGGCCCUGCUUUUGUGGGGUGCUCGAGUGGCGAACGGGUGAGUAACACGUGAGUAACCUGCCCUUGACUUUGGGAUAACUUCAGGAAACUGGGGCUAAUACCGGAUAGGAGCUCCUGCUGCAUGGUGGGGGUUGGAAAGUUUCGGCGGUUGGGGAUGGACUCGCGGCUUAUCAGCUUGUUGGUGGGGUAGUGGCUUACCAAGGCUUUGACGGGUAGCCGGCCUGAGAGGGUGACCGGCCACAGUGGGACUGAGAUACGGCCCAGACUCCUGCGGGAGGCAGCAGUGGGGAAUAUUGCACAAUGGGCGGAAGCCUGAUGCAGCAACGCCGCGUGCGGGAUGACGGCCUUCGGGUUGUAAACCGCUUUCGCCUGUGACGAAGCGUGAGUGACGGUAAUGGGUAAAGAAGCACCGGCUAACUACGUG